rnacentral:ncRNA from 1 species
CUCUGUGUACGCAUGAGACUCAGGGCAAAAAGAG